rnacentral:rRNA from 1 species
AUGAACGCUGGCGGCGUGCCUAAUACCUGCAAGUCGAGCGAACGGACGAGAAGCUUGCUUCUCUGAUGUUAGCGGCGGACGGGUGAGUAACACGUGGAUAACCUACCUAUAAGACUGGGAUAACUUCGGGAAACCGGAGCUAAUACCGGAUAAUAUUUUGAACCGCAUGGUUCAAAAGUGAAAGACGGUCUUGCUGUCACUUAUAGAUGGAUCCGCGCUGCAUCAGCUAGUUGGUAAGGUAACGGCUUACCAAGGCAACGAUGCAUAGCCGACCUGAGAGGGUGAUCGGCCACACUGGAACUGAGACACGGUCCAGACUCCUACGGGAGGCAGCAGUAGGGAAUCUUCCGCAAUGGGCGAAAGCCUGACGGAGCAACGCCGCGUGAGUGAUGAAGGUCUUCGGAUCGUAAAACUCUGUUAUUAGGGAAGAACAUAUGUGUAAGUAACUGUGCACAUCUUGACGGUACCUAAUCAGAAAGCCACGGCUAACUACGUG